UACGGGGGGGGCAAGCGUUGUUCGGAAUUACUGGGCGUAAAGGGCUCGUAGGCGGCCAACUAAGUCAUACGUGAAAUCCCUCGGCUUAACCGGGGAACUGCGUCUGAUACUGGAUGGCUUGAGUUCGGGAGAGGGAUGCGGAAUUCCAGGUGUAGCGGUGGAAUGCGCAGAUAUCAGGAGGAACACCAAUAGCGAAGGCAGCUCGCUGGGACGGUACUGACGCUAAGGCGCGAAAGCUAGGGGAGCGAACAGG
rnacentral:rRNA from 1 species